UACAGGGGGUGCAAACGUUGCUCGGAAUUAUUGGGCGUAAAGCGCGCGUAGGCGGCCGCUUAAGUCGGAUGUGAAAGCCCCUGGCUCAACUGGGGAAGUGCACCCGAAACUGAGUGGCUUGAGUACUAAAGAGGGUCGCGGAAUUCCCGGUGUAGAGGUGAAAUUCGUAGAUAUCGGGAGGAACACCGGUGGCGAAGGCGAUCUUCUGGACGGAUACUGACGCUGAGGCGCGAAAGCUAGGGGAGCAAACGGG
rnacentral:rRNA from 1 species